GAGUGAAUCCUCGAGAGGCAACGCUGCGCCUUCCGACUGAGUAUGUCAGAGCGAACUGGAAGGAGGAUGAUGCAGAUUCACCUAUAGGGUCGUGACUACUCAGGAUACACUUCUUCGGGUCACCAUAAAUGUGACCACCCACCACCCUCCCUCAAGAACACACACACGCGCACGCACGCACGCGCCGUCACACGCACUGUCACACGCAC